UCCCUGGUGGCUUAGAUGGUAAAGAAUCUGCAUGCAAUGCAGAAGACUCAGGUUUGAUCCCUGGGUGGGGAA
rnacentral:tRNA from 1 species